rnacentral:sRNA from 1 species
UCAAGUACGCGCCAGCCGCGGGUGCGGCGCAC